rnacentral:rRNA from 1 species
AUGGCACAAGCGGCGCACGUCGUCAUGCUCACGAGCUCCGGUGCCGGCCACGUCCUCCCGGUGUCCGAGCUGGCGAAGCGCCUCGCCGUGCGCCACGGCUUCACCGUCACUAUCGUCACUUACGCCAGCCUGUCCACGCCCGGCCACUCCUCGCCGCUCGCCUCCCUCCCGCCGGGCGUCUCCGUCGCCGCGCUCCCGGAGGUGUCCAUCAGCGACCUCCCAGCCGACGCGCACUUGGUGACCCGCAUCCUCACCGUCAUCAACCGCGCCCUGCCACAACUACGCGACUUACUACGCUCCCUCCUCGGCCUCCCGGCGGGGAUCACUGCCUUCAUGACCGACAUGCUCUGCCCCGCGGCGCUCGCCGUCAGCAAGGAGAUGGGUCUGCCUGGGACCACCACCUGCGAGUGCCGCGACCUCCCGGAGCCCGUGAUGCUCCCGGGGUGCGUGCCGCUGCACGGCGCCGAUCUCGUCGAACCCGUCCAGAACCGCUCCGACCCCGUGUACGAGCUCAUGGUCGACCUCGGUCUCAACUACCUCCUCGCGGAAGGCUUCAUCGUCAACACCAUGGACGCUUUGGAGCACGAGACGCUGGUGGCGUUCCAAGAGCUUUCUGACAAAGGCGUGUACCCUCCGGCAUACGCCGUGGGUCCAUUCACCCGGCGGCGGUGCCCCGACUCGGACGAGGUCAAGCACAGCUGCCUACGGUGGCUGGACAACCAGCCGGACGGCUCGGUCUUGUACGUGUCCUUCGGCAGCGGCGGCGCGCUGUCCACAGAGCAGACGGCCGAGCUGGCGGCUGGGCUCGAGGCGAGCGAGCAGAGGUUCCUCUGGGUGGUCCACCACCCCAACGACAAGGACAGCAGCGCUGGCUACCUCGGUACUGCCACCACCGACGACGACCCGCUGAGCUACCUGCCCGAAGGGUUCGUCGAGAGAACGAAAGGCACAGGGCUCCUUGUGCCACUGUGGGCGCCGCAGGUGGAGAUCCUUAACCAUGUCGCCGUGGGAGGGUUCAUGUCUCAUGGCGGAUGGAACUCCACGCUGGAGAGCGUGGCGGCGGGCGUGCCGAUGGUGGCGUGGCCGCUGUACGCCGAGCAGAGGAUGAACGCGGUGAUGCUGUCGUCGGAUCGGGUGGGCCUGGCUUUGUGGGAGAGGCCUCCCCUCGGUAAAGACGGAGCAAUUGUCCCGCGAGAGGAGGUGGCGGCGCUGGUGGGAGAGCUUAUGGAAGGGGAGAAGGGCGCCAUGGCGCGGAAAAAGGCCGAUCACCUCCGGGAUGAGGCCGAGAUUGCUCAGGAUCGAGCUCUCGCGGUAGUGGCUGGCAUGGUUUCCUUGCAUCGGAAGAGCCACGGUGACUAA